AGAGUUUGAUCCUGGCUCAGAUUGAACGCUGGCGGCAUGCUUUACACAUGCAAGUCGAACGGCAGCGCGGGGGCAACCCUGGCGGCGAGUGGCGAACGGGUGAGUAAUGCAUCGGAACGUAUCCUGUAAUGGGGGAUAACGUAGCGAAAGUUACGCUAAUACCGCAUACGCUCGAGAGAGGAAAGUGGGGGAUCGCAAGACCUCACGUUAUAGGAGCGGCCGAUGUCCGAUUAGCUAGUUGGUGGGGUAAAGGCCUACCAAGGCGACGAUCGGUAGCUGGUCUGAGAGGAUGAUCAGCCACACUGGGACUGAGACACGGCCCAGACUCCUACGGGAGGCAGCAGUGGGGAAUUUUGGACAAUGGGCGAAAGCCUGAUCCAGCCAUGCCGCGUGCGGGAAGAAGGCCUUCGGGUUGUAAACCGCUUUAGUCCGGGAAAAAGGGGUGCGAGGAUAAUACCCUCGUGCUUUGAUGGUACUGGAAGAAUAAGCACCGGCUAACUACGUGCCAGCAGCCGCGGUAAU
rnacentral:rRNA from 1 species